GUUGGGAAGAUGAAGAAAAGAGCAUCUAAGAGCAUUGGGCAUGGGAACAUAGAAGAAAGCACGAACUAUGAUUUCCCUCUAGAAUAGGGGAUCAAAUUCAUUUUUUCCCAAUGCCUCCCAUGCCUAUUGUUCUUAGGUGUUCCUUCCUUUUCCUAUGAACU
rnacentral:pre_miRNA from 1 species